GAUGAACGCUGGCGGCGUGCCUAAUACAUGCAAGUCCAGCGAACAGACGAGGAGCUUGCUCCUCUGACGCUAGCGGCAGACGGGUGAGUAACACGUGGAUAACCUACCUAUAAGACUGGGAUAACUUCGGGAAACCGGAGCUAAUACCGGAUAAUAUAUUGAACCGCAUGGUUCAAUAGUGAAAGACGGUUUUGCUGUCACUUAUAGAUGGAUCCGCGCCGCAUUAGCUAGUUGGUAAGGUAACGGCUUACCAAGGCAACGAUGCGUAGCCGACCUGAGAGGGUGAUCGGCCACACUGGAACUGAGACACGGUCCAGACUCCUACGGGAGGCAGCAGUAGGGAAUCUUCCGCAAUGGGCGAAAGCCUGACGGAGCAACGCCGCGUGAGUGAUGAAGGUCUUCGGAUCGUAAAACUCUGUUAUUAGGGAAGAACAAAUGUGUAAGUAACUAUGCACGUCUUGACGGUACCUAAUCAGAAAGCCACGGCUAACUACGUG
rnacentral:rRNA from 1 species